UGCUAACUUUGGUAGCACAUUGCUAAAAUUGGAAUAAUACAGAGGACAUUAACAUGGCAAAGAUGACAUGCAUGGUAAAGAGUUUUGUAUU
rnacentral:snRNA from 1 species